CAAAAACAUGCUUAUUUUGCUGGCGGUUGCAUUGAAAUUGAUGGUCCAGAUUAGAUUGCCAUUUCCCUCCCAUUCCUUUCCUUUCCCACCCAUCUCCGGCUGUGUUCGACGCCCAUUUCCCACCGUGUUCAAGCAAGCAGCCAUCCCAUUUCCUUCCUUUCCCUCCUAUCUCCCAUCUUUCCAGCCAGAAGUAGGGACCGUUCGAUAGCCAGAGCCACCGCCGUUCAGCCCAUAUCGACAUCCAAAACCCACGACCAGAAAGAGCCACCGUUCAAGCCAAUGUUCGUCCGAAACCCACUGCCCAGGCUACCGCUCAGAGAGACCAUCUUUCUCUUUUUGAUCUUUUUCCUCAACGAACAGCAGCGAUUAUGUUAAGGCUAGGGUUUUUAAAUACAUUAUUCAAAUUUUUCAUUCAAUUUUUUAUUUUUUAUUAUUUUUUGGGUUUUGAUCGAUCUUAUUCUUUUUCUAUAUAUUGAUUUAUUUAUUUUUGAGAUUCUCUAUCAUGAAUAUAGGUUUUUGAAUUUGUAUGUAAGAUGCACCAUCAGAGACACCAUCGACAAGGUUCUCGUCCUCUGAUUGUUUGUCUCCUUCUCGACGAUGUCGUAUGCCCCCCCCCCCCCCCCCCUUCUUUUUCUUUGGGUUUCCUUUUUGCUAUUUUGCUUGAUUCUGUGUAAUUUGUGAAUUUUUGGUACUAUACUGCUAUCUGAACCAGCACCCCAGCUUUCUAAGUUCGCAACCAUCGUACUUGUUGACAUGGAUUCGGAGGACGUUCAACCAGGAACCUAGAAUUCUGCUACUCUCUCUGUAUGUUUAUUCCAAUUUAUAUACAGUAUCAGAGGAAACAGUGCUGAAUACCAGAGGGAGAUUUCUUUUGGAGAGGAUGUUGUGAUUGUGGCGUAGGUUAUUGAUUUCGUAAUUUCAGAUAAUUUAAUAGCAACUCUCUUUUCUUUUCAUUUUUUUUUUUUUAAUGGAAGCUUUUGUCUUUCAUUAUCUCCCAUAAUUCGCUACAAAAAUCAUGGCAAAGAUAGUGCAUACCGCACUGCCAUUUCCAAAUCGAAUUAGGGUGGUUUCAAGGACACACUUCCUGAUGAUUUGCUUGCUGCUAUUUCGAAGGCAGUGAUAGAGAAAAACAAAUUUGAAUACAGGUGAAGUAGGAGACGUAGUUAUUGGCACAGUUUCAGCACCUGGUUUGCAGAGAGCAACUGAAUGUAGGAAGGCGGCAUUUUAUGUUGGAUUCCCCGUGCAGGAAUUGGAACAGUAUUGGAGUCCAUGACAAUAAAUAAAAUGAAUAGGGUUACUAAAGUUAACCCAAAAGUAUAUUUCAAAGGCUACAUUUUUGUUCUUCAUUUCUUUUUCUUCUUCGAAAAAUGAUUGAAGUUGAAUAACUUGUUUGGUGUAUGAUACGGUGUCAAGAGGUGGAGAUCUUUACACAUGCCCGUGAUUUUCUUCUUCCUGAUGGUAUUACAUCUGAAAAUGUCGUACAACGUUAUAGUGUGACACGUGAAGAGUAGGAUAUGACUACUAUAAGGUCUAUAGAUUUAAAUUGUAUCUUUAUAAUUAAUUAUAUCUCAAUUAAUUAAAUUAACAGAAUGUCAAAAUGCAAUCUCCAAAAGAAAUUGCGUUUUAAUGUGAAC